AGCAGCCGCGGUAAUUCCAGCUCCAAUAGCGUAUAUUAAAGUUGUUGCAGUUAAAAAGCUCGUAGUUGAGUUUCGGGGUCAGUAGGUUGGUCAUGCCACUGGUAUGUACUGGUCUCACUGAUUCCUCCUUCCUGAUGAACUGUAAUGCCAUUAAUUUGGUGUUGCAGGGAAUCUGGACUGUUACUUUGAAAAAAUUAGAGUGUUUAAAGCAGGCUAACGCCUGAAUACAUUAGCAUGGAAUAAUGAAAUAGGACGUUCGAUCCUAUUUUGUUGGUUUCUAGGAUUGACGUAAUGAUUAAUAGGGAUAGUUGGGGGCAUUAGUAUUCAAUUGUCAGAGGUGAAAUUCUUGGAUUUAUUGAAGACUAACUACUGCGAAAGCAUUUGCCAAGGAUGUUUUCAUUAAUCAAGAACGAAAGUUAGGGGAUCGAAGACGAUCAGAUACCGUCGUAG
rnacentral:rRNA from 1 species